rnacentral:lncRNA from 1 species
AUUUUUAGUCAAGUUGAACUCUAUGAGCAUCAGGAGGAGCUUCUGCACACACAUUGGUAUCGGGGUCCUCAUCCUCAUUCAAGGUCAGUCAAAGAGGGAGAAAUUGCAUCUAGGAUAUGGAUUUCAAGCCUGGCAGCUUAUGCUCUAACUCUGGAGUUUUGAUUAGGAAAACGAACAUUGCAUCAAACGGAAUCUUGAGGGACAGAAAUCUGGCAUCACCAUCCUUGUUGGCCUUAUACAGAACAUCCAGACUCAGCAGAAUCCCACAGAUGAAUACGUCAGAGCUUUCAGGAAUCCAGUAUGACUCCUCUGUGAUGGACUCAACGCUUGCAUUUUGAGCCGGCAAUGCAGGUUCUAGGAACGGAUCAACGUUGUGCUCUGCUUUCCUUGUUCAAUCCUGAACUUCUCUUGGAUUGUGUUUGUAAUUAGUGUGCUGAAUUAUGCUUCGUGUGAAUGUGAACCAUCUAAGUUUUGCCUGUCCAGUGUUUGGUGAUCAUGUGCAAUUUGGUGUUUGAUGAAAUGAGCUAUGUGCUUGAGAUUGCGUGUGCUGGAUUGUCACCUUCGAAGCACUUGAAGCUAAAGCUGAAGCUGAAGCGCAAGGUCUAUUGCAAUGGCUUCCUCUCUCUCCGCACCCCCACAGGCAAGGUACCUUCGCUUUCACUACUAAUCUCUACCACUGAUGUCCAGCUCAACCCGAUCAGCAAUUUAGUUGCCUUUGAUUGGGCUAGGACAUGAUUCAGUUUGAUUGGCUAAUCUAUGUCAAAAUGGCAGUGGCUGUUAAAUUAUUACUGUUUUCUCCCAAAUUUAGCUUGCUCGAUCGAACUGAACAGCGGCAGCUUGAUGCUGCUUACGAUUUCAUUUUUUCUAUCAUCACGGAUUGUUCUAUUUUGUGCUUCUGGUUGUAAUACUCGCCGUGAUUGAGCUUGUUUUGAGUAGAUUAGUCCAUGCUGUGAUUGAUGGUUGGAUAAUGCCGUAUCAUGGCAGCGAGCAGCUGUUGGAAUGCAGGAUUUUGAAGAAUGAUGAAGUUAUUUGUUCCGGUGAGUCACUGAUUUCAAUGCUUAUUUGGUUGAUGUUGGAGAGCCUGGAGGAGGACAAAAGCCUCUAGAUGAUACUUAUAUUCACAGCCUGAUUAUUAUUUGGCAAUUGGAUUUAUAAGUUCCCUCUGCCGAGGGUAUUCCUUGCUUGUUUUCUUCAUAGUUGUUUUGUUGGUUCAAAUCAUCAGUAGGUGCAAUGUGAUGAAUGUGAAGUUCUUGGGUUUGGUUUGUUAAAAGUCCAAAUGGGUAUAUUUUACUUAUUGUUUGUCUUGGAAAAAAGAGCGUUGCUUGCAUACAAAUACGCGUAGACCCUACUUUGUGAUGCUUUGCUUGUUGCUUGUGUGGGAAAUUAAAUAUUUGUUCUUUUCCUUGCUUCAAACAGCUACUUGGGUAUGGUUCAUGUAUUGAUUGAUUUAGAAUCUAGAUGUAAACAUUUGCAAUUGAUCUACUGUUGCUUUUGUUCAAUGCAACUGAUCUUUUGAAACUCCAUUUUUUUCGUUAAAGUUUUUCCUUUUGUUAACCUUACUUUCAAUUGAUGCAGAGCUUUGGUUGAGUUUUUGGAUAUGAGGUUCAGUAUAAUCCCCUCUAUGAAUUACGAGGUGUGUUUUCCUUUUAGCUACUUAAAUCCUUUGGCAUGGAAUCUACAGUUGUAUUGCCUACAUAACUUUUCAUUUUCUGCAG